UACAGAGGGUGCGAGCGUUAAUCGGAAUUACUGGGCGUAAAGCGUGCGUGGACGGUUAUUUAAGUCGGGUGUGAAAGCCCCGGGCUCAACCUGGGAAUUGCAUUCGAGACUGAAUAGCUAGGGUACGGUAGAGGGAAGCGGAAUUUCCGGUGUAGCGGUGAAAUGCGUAGAUAUCGGAAGGAACAUCAGUGGCGAAAGCGGCUUCCUGGACCAGUACCGACGUUCAGGCACGAAAGCGUGGGGAGCAAACAGG
rnacentral:rRNA from 1 species